rnacentral:rRNA from 1 species
UACCGCAUGAGACCACAGAAUCGCAUGAUAUAGGGGUCAAAGAUUUAUCGGUGUAAGAAGGGCUCGCGUCUGAUUAGCUAGUUGGAAGGGUAAAGGCCUACCAAGGCGACGAUCAGUAGCCGGUCUGAGAGGAUGAACGGCCACAUUGGAACUGAGACACGGUCCAAACUCCUACGGGAGGCAGCAGUGGGGAAUAUUGCACAAUGGGGGGAACCCUGAUGCAGCGACGCCGCGUGAGCGAAGAAGGUUUUCGAAUCGUAAAGCUCUGUCCUAUGAGAAGAUAAUGACGGUAUCAUAGGAGGAAGCCCCGGCUAAAUACGUGCCAGCAGCCGCGGUAAUACGUAUGGGGCGAGCGUUGUCCGGAAUUAUUGGGCGUAAAGGGUACGUAGGCGGUUUUUUAAGUCAGGUGUGAAAGCGUGAGGCUUAACCUCAUUAAGCACUUGAAACUGGAAGACUUGAGUGAAGGAGAGGAAAGUGGAAUUCCUAGUGUAGCGGUGAAAUGCGUAGAUAUUAGGAGGAAUAC